AAUUCUCAACUCUCUGAUACUGUUUGGUAAAAGAGAGCUUGGACUAUGGAGGCUUGCUGGCCACUCGUUUGAGGUCAGCUCCUCUGAAAUGCAUUAGCGGAACCGUUUGCGAUCUGCCACAAGUGUGAUAAAUUAUCUGCACUGGCGAGGGGAUUGCUCUCAGUAAUGUUCAGCUUCUAAUUGUCUCUGUGAGACUACUUUUGAAC
rnacentral:misc_RNA from 1 species